AUUGAACGCUGGCGGCAUGCCUAACACAUGCAAGUCGAACGCGAACGGGCUUUGGCCUGAGUAGCGUGGCGGACGGGUGAGUAAUGCGUGGGAAUCUGCCUGGCAGUGGGGGAUAACCCGGGGGAAACUCGGGCUAAUACCGCAUACGCCCUACGGGGGAAAGGGGGCUUUGGCUCUCGUUGCCAGAUGAGCCCACGUCCGAUUAGCUUGUUGGCGGGGUAAUGGCCCACCAAGGCCGCGAUCGGUCGCUGGUCUGAGAGGAUGACCAGCCACACUGGGACUGAGACACGGCCCAGACUCCUACGGGAGGCAG
rnacentral:rRNA from 1 species